UAUGCCUACGGGGGGCAGCAGUGGGGAAUAUUGCACAAUGGGGGAAACCCUGAUGCAGCGACGCCGCGUGGGCGAUGAAGUAUUUCGGUAUGUAAAGCUCUAUCAGCAGGGAAGAAAAUGACGGUACCUGACUAAGAAGCCCCGGCUAACUACGUGCCAGCAGCCGCGGUAAUACGUAGGGGGCAAGCGUUAUCCGGAUUUACUGGGUGUAAAGGGAGCGUAGACCGCCGUUCAAG
rnacentral:rRNA from 1 species